GGGCAAAGUGCUAAGGCACGUCAUUGCUGCUUUUUUCAAAAGAGUGAAGCGGUUCAUAUCAAUGCCAUUGGAUGUUGGGUCCCUAACUGUGGUAAAGCGGCAAUUCCAGGAAGGGGGUAGUCGCUUCCCACAUGUUAUUGGGGUUGUGGAUGGGACAGUUGUUCCAGUUGUGGUAGCAAAACAUAAUGAGGAAAUCUAUAGGAACAGGAAAAUGUUCCACUCUCUGAAUGUGAUGGUUGUUUGUGGCCCAUCCCUCCAGAUCCUGUCCCUGAAUGCCAAGUACCCCGGCAGCGCACAUGAUGCCCACGUCAUUAGGCAAUCAGGAAAGUGGCAAAGAUUAAGAAGGAUGGAAGGCCAAGACACGUGGCUAUUGGGUGAGUUGUAUUGGCAUCAUGUAUUAAAGAGUUUUUUUUUUACUGUAUGUGAUGUUGGCUUAUUUUUAACAUUAUGAUUCUCUUGUAUUUUAACAGAUCGUGGAUAGCCGUUUACCCCCUGGCUCAUGACUCCUUACAGCACACCCAGACCAGGGCCACAAACAGGAUUUAUCUCUGGACGCUGGAAGGUGAAGGCACAGCACAAAGGCAAGAAUCCCAGGAGGAAGUUGAAGGAGCCUCCCCCCUCACCACCCGACCCCAUCACACCUCCUCAUACUCCUCUGAACCCCCCUCCCCCUCUCAACAACCCGCAUUGUCCUUCCCCCCUCAACAACCCACCCCCAUCAAUCUGCAUCCUCCUUCUCCUCCCCCUCAACCCCCCUCAUCAACCCACCCCAUCAAUCUGCAUCCAUCUCUUCCUCCUCCUCCCCCUCUCAAUCUAACCCGCCUCUCAACCCCCCUCCUCCUCUCAAUCUAACCCCCCUCUCAACCCUCCUUACCCUCUAAAUCUGACCAUCCCUCUCAAACCCCCUCACCCAUCUAACCUCCAUCCCCCUUUCAAGCCCUUUCCCCCAUCCAACCUCCUUCCCCCAUCCAACCUCCCAUCCCCUUUCAACCCCCUUCCCCCAUCUAACUUCCUACCCCCUUUCAACCCCCUUCCCCCAUCACAAGCGAACCUGGAGAGUGGGCAGCUGAGGCCCCUCCGUGCUGUUCUUCCGUUGGGGGAGAAUGGUGCAGUUGGAGAUCUCAAUGUGGGAAUACCACAAAUAUUGGAGGAAAUGGAGCUGCACUGCCGUGGCCUCCUGCAUGGAAUUGUUUUGUUAAAAACGAAAUUUAAAUAACAUGUUUUUUGUUGAAAAAAAUAAAAUAAAAAAUACCAUGUUCCAAAAAAAUAAAUAGU